GGAAGGCUGGUGCGGACGAGGCGCUCGCCAACCCGGUCAGGUCCGGAAGGAAGCAGCCGCAACGGGUCAGCUUCGGGUCGCCGCCAGUCUUCCACC
rnacentral:SRP_RNA from 1 species